rnacentral:rRNA from 1 species
CACGUAGGGUGCGAGCGUUGUCCGGAAUUAUUGGGCGUAAAGAGCUCGUAGGCGGUGUGUCGCGUCGGCCGUGAAAACCUGCAGCUUAACUGUGGGCUUGCGGUCGAUACGGGCAUCACUGGAGUUCGGCAGGGGAGACUGGAAUUCCUGGUGUAGCGGUGAAAUGCGCAGAUAUCAGGGAGGGAACACCGGUGGCGAAGGCGGGUCUCUGGGCCGAUACUGACGCUGGAGGAGCGAAA